GGGAAUUUUGCGCAAUGGGGGAAACCCUGACGCAGCAACGCCGCGUGGAGGAUGAAAUCCCUUGGGAUGUAAACUCCUUUCGAUCGGGAAGAUAAUGACGGUACCGAGAGAAGAAGCCCCGGCUAACUUCGUGCCAGCAGCCGCGGUAAUACGAGGGGGGCAAGCGUUGUUCGGAAUUAUUGGGCGUAAAGGGUGCGUAGGCGGUUUGACAAGUCUUAUGUGAAAUCUCUGGGCUCAACCCAGAGUCUGCAUGGGAAACUGUCGAGCUUGAGUAUGGGAGAGGUGAGUGGAAUUUCCGGUGUAGCGGUGAAAUGCGUAGAUAUCGGAAGGAACACCUGUGGCGAAAGCGGCUCACUGGACCAUUACUGACGCUGAUGCACGAAAGCUAGGGGAGCAAACA
rnacentral:rRNA from 1 species